UCAAGCAGCUUACACAACCAAACGUCUUAUAAGGAAACAGGAGGACCAAAAAGCGACUGACACAAGUGGAGACGAACUGAUCCUGACAUGAACCAAGAUGUCUUCUUCGCUGAUGAUAAACAGUGGUAAUGGAUCCAACACAUGGUUUUGGACACACUCCUUCAUCACAGAUUGAGCGAUGAA